AAGUCGUAACAAGGUAACCGUAGGUGAACCUGCGGUUGGAUCAUUAACAAAUUGAUCAGGCUAGGCUUAACAGCUCUGCCGGUGUUUCUCCUGCGAAAGCGGGUAGGAAACCCAAACCCAUUUGUGAAAUGUAUAGAUGUCUCUGGCGGUGGGGUGUCGAAAAGGUUCUUGUAGCUUUCUCAAUCCCUGUCAGCAUGCUUUACGCUUGUGGACAAGCCGCCAAUUGCUUCUUAACAACGCUUUUGCUAAGUAUCAUUGUCUAACCUGUUUAUUUUGUAUAAUAUACAAAAACAACUUUUGGCAACGGAUCUCUUGGCUCUC
rnacentral:misc_RNA from 1 species